rnacentral:rRNA from 1 species
GUCAAAACGACUCUCGGCAACGGAUAUCUCGGCUCUCGCAUCGAUGAAGAACGUAGCGAAAUGCGAUACUUGGUGUGAAUUGCAGAAUCCCGUGAACCAUCGAGUCUUUGAACGCAAGUUGCGCCCGAAGCCUUCGGGCCGAGGGCACGCCUGCCUGGGCGUCACGCAUCGCGUCGCCC